GACGAACGCUGGCGGCGUGCUUAACACAUGCAAGUCGAACGGUGAAGGGACCGGUUUUUGCUGGUUCUGGCUGAGUGGCGAACGGGUGAGUAACACGUGAGUAACCUGCCCCCUUCUUCUGGAUAACCGCAUGAAAGUGUGGCUAAUACGGGAUAUUCUGCGCCUGCUGCAUGGUGGGUGUGGGAAAGUUAUUGUUUCGGUGGGGGAUGGGCUCGCGGCCUAUCAGCUUGUUGGUGGGGUGAUGGCCUAUCACGGCGGUGACGGGUAGGCUGGCUGAGUUGGUGGACGGUCACACGGGGGCUGAGACGCGGUCCAGACUCGUACGGGAGGGAUCAGUGAGGAAUAUUGCACAAUGGGCGGAAGCUUGCUGCAGCGUCGCCGCGUGCGGGAUGGAGGCCUUCGGGUUGUAAACUUCUUUCGCCCGUUAAGCAGGCCUGUCCCUUUUGUGGGUGGAUUGACGGUAGCUGGAUAAGAAGCGCCGGCUAACUAAGUG
rnacentral:rRNA from 1 species